rnacentral:rRNA from 1 species
CUCAGAUUGAACGCUGGCGGCAGGCUUMACACAUSCAASUCGAGCGGUAACAGGGGGUGCUUGCACCCCGCUGACGAGCGGCGGACGGGUGAGUAAUGCAUAGGAAACUGCCCAGUAGUGGGGGAUAGCCCGGGGAAACCCGGAUUAAUACCGCGUACGCCUUCGGGGGAAAGCAGGGGAUCUUCGGACCUUGCGCUAUUGGAUGUGCCUAUGUCGGACUUAGCUAGUUGGUGGGGUAAAGGCCUACCAAGGCGACGAUCCGUAGCUGGUCUGAGAGGAUGAUCAGCCACAUCGGGACUGAGACACGGCCCGAACUCCUACGGGAGGCAGCAGUGGGGAAUAUUGGACAAUGGGGGCAACCCUGAUCCAGCCAUGCCGCGUGUGUGAAGAAGGCUUUCGGGUUGUAAAGCACUUUCAGUGAGGAGGAAAACUCUGCGACUAAUACUCGUAGGGCUUGACGUUACUCACAGAAGAAGCACCGGCUAACUCCGUGCCAGCAGCCGCGGUAAUACGGAGGGUGCAAGCGUUAAUCGGAAUUACUGGGCGUAAAGCGCGCGUAGGUGGUUUGAUAAGCGAGAUGUGAAAGCCCCGGGCUUAACCUGGGAACGGCAUUUCGAACUGUCAGGCUAGAGUAUGGUAGAGGGUAGUGGAAUUUCCUGUGUAGCGGUGAAAUGCGUMGAUAUAGGAAGGAACACCAGUGGCGAAGGCGG